AGGACGAACGCUGGCGGCGUGCCUAAUACAUGCAAGUCGAACGGUCUUUCUAUGGAAGCUUGCUUCCACUGAGAAGAUAGUGGCGAACGGGUGAGUAACACGUGGGUAACCUGCCCAUAAGAGGGGGAUAACAUCCGGAAACGGGUGCUAAUACCGCAUAGUUUUCUUGAUCGCAUGAUUGAGAAAGGAAAGACGGCCUUUGUGCUGUCGCUUAUGGAUGGACCCGCGGCGUAUUAGUUAGUUGGUGAGGUAACGGCUCACCAAGACGAUGAUACGUAGCCGACCUGAGAGGGUGAUCGGCCACAUUGGGACUGAGACACGGCCCAAACUCCUACGGGAGGCAGCAGUAGGGAAUCUUCCGCAAUGGACGAAAGUCUGACGGAGCAACGCCGCGUGAGUGAAGAAGGUUUUUCCGGAUCGUAAAACUCUGUUGUCAGAGAAGAACAAGUUGGAGAGUAACUGCUCCAGCCUUGACGGUAUCUGACCAGAAAGCCACGGCUAACUACGUGCCAGCAGCCGC
rnacentral:rRNA from 1 species